rnacentral:rRNA from 1 species
GACGUAGGUGACAAGCGUUGUCCGGAUUUACUGGGCGUAAAGAGCGCGCAGGCGGUCGAUCAAGUCGAGUGUGAAAGCCCCCGGCUCAACCGGGGAGGGGCAUUCGAUACUGGUCGACUCGAAGGCAGGAGAGGGUAGUGGAAUUCCCGGUGUAGUGGUGAAAUGCGUAGAUAUCGGAAGGAACAUCAGUGGCGAAAGCGACUUCCUGGACCAAGACCGACGUUCAGGCACGAAAGCGUGGGGAGCAAACAGG